rnacentral:rRNA from 1 species
ACUGCGAGUGAACCRGGAAAAGCUCAAAUUUUGAAUCUGGCGGUCUUUCGAGCCCGUCCGAAGUUGUAAUCUAAAAAAGCGUCUUCCSCGCUGGACCGUGUAUAAGWUCCCUGGRAAUGGAAACGUCGUAAAAR